GACGAACGCUGGCGGCGUGCUUAACACAUGCAAGUCGAACGAAGAGCGAUGGAAGCUUGCUUCUAUCAAUCUUAGUGGCGAACGGGUGAGUAACGCGUAAUCAACCUGCCCUUCAGAGGGGGACAACAGUUGGAAACGACUGCUAAUACCGCAUACGAUCUAAUCUCGGCAUCGAGGAUAGAUGAAAGGUGGCCUCUACAUGUAAGCUAUCACUGAAGGAGGGGAUUGCGUCUGAUUAGCUAGUUGGAGGGGUAACGGCCCACCAAGGCGAUGAUCAGUAGCCGGUCUGAGAGGAUGAACGGCCACAUUGGGACUGAGACACGGCCCAGACUCCUACGGGAGGCAGCAGUGGGGAAUCUUCCGCAAUGGACGAAAGUCUGACAGAGCAACGCCGCGUGAGCGAUGACGGCCUUCGGGUUGUAAAGCUCUGUUAAUCGGGACGAAAGGCCUUCUUGCGAAUAGUGAGAAGGAUUGACGGUACCGGAAUAGAAAGCCACGGCUAACUACGUG
rnacentral:rRNA from 1 species